CCAAAGUAACUUUCUACAUUAUAAGGUUGAUGAUACCAAUCUUCCAGGUGUUGGUAAGACUGCCUCCUUCCACGAUUUCUUUUAAAUUCACCUGAUGUUGCAUGGUCAAUGCUAGCAUCUGCAUAUCACGCCACAUGAAGAAAUAUUGCAAGUCGGCUACUGCCAAAGAAGAUAAAAAGGCAAGAUGGUUAAAUCAAGAAAGGUAGCAGCUAAAUAAUAUCCAAUAACAUCUGAGAAUGCUCCAGCUUUUCCAAUUCCGUCCUCCCCCAAACCCGAGAGUGGGUGCCCCAUGAAAAUAAGCAGUUGCAUCGAAAUAUCAAGCCACAAAAAGAGUGCAUAUUCUCCUCAUAUUAAAUUCAUCUUUACCUCUGCCAUUAUCCUUCCAAGAGAAUUCAGCAGCGCCUCCCAAAUGCCAUUGAGGCAUUGACAAGAUAUUAACUUUGCAGAACCAGACAAAUUCAUUUAGAAGUCCUAGGAUAACAUAGGUUCUGAUUGAUAAUUCAGCUCAACCUGCUGAACACUGGCAUAGACAAAGGAAAGACAAAACACCGAGAAACAAGGGAUUAGUUAGCUUGGACUGCACGAAGAACAUCAAACUAUAAAGACAUUCACAAGAAUGACAAGAGGAGGGCAGGAACAAAAGGAUAAAAUGUGAUAAGUAGGGAUCAAAAUUACCAAGUUAUUCUGGAAUUACCCUACCAAAGCAGACAUCUUAAUUUCAUUGGAUUUUAGAGAUUCACCGCACAUAGAAAAGUCACUUUAAUAUGCAGCUAGGAUUUAGGAGCUACUACAAUAACUGCACGUAAUUGGAACAAAAUAGAAAAUCUUGUUUAGGACCCCCUACCCUAUAAAUAAAACUUUGUUUAUUUUGUUUCAGAAAUUGGCACACAAAAAAAUGACCCUAUGAUAGAAAUCUCUGGUUUAUCUUAUUCUUCUCUUGUUCGCCACUUCUCUUUAAUUUUCUACCAUUUAUCCCAUCUCCCUUCUCGUCCUGCAUCAGUCGGAAGCAAAGAUAGGCCAACACUAGAUUAUUAUAUGAAAAGAAACCAUUCCUCAGAAUACUGCUUCUCUGAUCUAGCAACAAGACCUUAAGGUUGUGUAGGCUAAUCAAUUUUCUCCCUUUGGAGCUUCUGAUGAUUAGCUUAUUCAAAUAAUUACAACACACAUAUAAGAUACAUUAAGAUUCAAGAUCAAAAUUUUCAUGCCAAAAUAUCAAACACAUACCAUUGCCGAAGUUUAAACAUCCCAGUGCCUAUCUGCAUUGGUAUGCCCAUGAUGAUGCAUUCACUAACUCCUUCUAUCUUAUCAUCCCUUCCAUUUACAGAUGCAUUAAACAGGUGGUCCGUUGUCUUCUCAAAUGAGGCUAACAUCAGUACGCUAUCUUUCAUUUUCUGAACGCCAUGUCUGGUUAUUCCCAGAACUUCACCCUAUGAUAGAAAAAAAAUUAUCCAUUAAACUUGU
rnacentral:lncRNA from 1 species